GAUGAACGCUGGCGGCGUGCCUAUUCCUGCCAGUCGGGCGAACGGGACAGAAGCUUGCUUUUCUGAUUUUUGCGGCCGGCCGGUUAAUUAACAGUGGGAUACCUACCUUUAAGGCUGGGAUAAAUUCGGGAAAACGUAGCCAAUACCCGAUAAUUUUUUGGACCGCAUGGUUCAAAAGUGAAAGGAGGUCCCGCCGUCACUUAUAGAUUGAUCCGCGCUGCAUUAGCUAGUUGGUAAGGUAACGGCUUACCAAGGCAACGAUGCAUAGCCGACCUGAGAGGGUGAUCGGCCACACUGGAACUGAGACACGGUCCAGACUCCUACGGGAGGCAGCAGUAGGGAAUCUUCCGCAAUGGGCGAAAGCCUGACGGAGCAACGCCGCGUGAGUGAUGAAGGUCUUCGGAUCGUAAAACUCUGUUAUUAGGGAAGAACAUAUGUGUAAGUAACUGUGCACAUCUUGACGGUACCUAAUCAGAAAGCCACGGCUAACUACGUG
rnacentral:rRNA from 1 species